AUUGAACGCUGGCGGCAGGCCUAACACAUGCAAGUCGAACGAGUGGCGGACGGGUGAGUAAUGUCUGGGAAACUGCCUGAUGGAGGGGGAUAACUACUGGAAACGGUAGCUAAUACCGCAUAACAUCAGAUGUGCCCAGAUGGGAUGAGCUUGGUGGUGGGGUAAAGGCGCACCAAGGCGACGAUCCCUAGCUGGUCUGAGAGGAUGACCCGACACACUGGAACGGAGACACGGUCCAGUCUCCUACGGGAGGCAGCUGUGGGGAAUAUUGCACAAUGGGCGAAAGACUGAUGCAGCCAUGCCGCGUGUAUGAAGAAGGCCUUCGGGGUGUAAAGUACUUUCAGCGGGGAGGCGUUACCCGCAGAAGAAGCACCGGCUAACUCCGUGCCAGCAGCCGCGGUAAUUC
rnacentral:rRNA from 1 species